GAUGAACGCUGGCGGCGUGCCUAAUACAUGCAAGUCGAGCGAACAGACGAGGAGCUUGCUCCUCUGACGUUAGCGGCGGACGGGUGAGUAACACGUGGAUAACCUACCUAUAAGACUGGGAUAACUUCGGGAAACCGGAGCUAAUACCGGAUAAUAUAUUGAACCGCAUGGUUCAAUAGUGAAAGACGGUUUUGCUGUCACUUAUAGAUGGAUCCGCGCCGCAUUAGCUAGUUGGUAAGGUAACGGCUUACCAAGGCAACGAUGCGUAGCCGACCUGAGAGGGUGAUCGGCCACACUGGAAGUGAGACACGGUCCAGACUCCUACGGGAGGCAGCAGUAGGGAAUCUUCCGCAAUGGGCGAAAGCCUGACGGAGCAACGCCGCGUGAGUGAUGAAGGUCUUCGGAUCGUAAAACUCUGUUAUUAGGGAAGAACAAAUGUGUAAGUAACUAUGCACGUCUUGACGGUACCUAAUCAGAAAGCCACGGCCAACUACGUG
rnacentral:rRNA from 1 species